rnacentral:rRNA from 1 species
AGUGAACGCUGGCGGUAGGCCUAACACAUGCAAGUCGAACGGCAGCACAGUAAGAGCUUGCUCUUACGGGUGGCGAGUGGCGGACGGGUGAGGAAUACAUCGGAAUCUACUUUUUCGUGGGGGAUAACGUAGGGAAACUUACGCUAAUACCGCAUACGACCUACGGUUGAAAGCAGGGGAUCUUCGGACCUUGCGCGAUUGAAUGAGCCGAUGUCGGAUUAGCUAGUUGGCGGGGUAAAGGCCCACCAAGGCGACGAUCCGUAGCUGGUCUGAGAGGAUGAUCAGCCACACUGGAACUGAGACACGGUCCAGACUCCUACGGGAGGCAGCAGUGGGGAAUAUUGGACAAUGGGCGCAAGCCUGAUCCAGCUAUACCGCGUGGGUGAAGAAGGCCUUCGGGUUGUAAAGCCCUUUUGUUGGGAAAGAAAAGCGGCAGGUUAAUACCCCGCUGUUCUGACGGUACCCAAAGAAUAAGCACCGGCUAACUUCGUG